UCAGAAUCUGAAGAAACUAAUUCUGUAUGGAGAAACAAAAAAUCUCUCAUUUCCGACGCGAAUAGAUUUUUUUUUUAUUUCGAAAUAAAGGUUCUUGUCUUGUGGGGAACGAUGCACAAAUUUUUGGAAUCCGGUACCAACAGGUAUAAUCCCCCCAGAACUACGUUUUCUUUCAAGCCUUUCAACCAAUCAAUGCGACCUCAUAGGGCAGCUUUUGCUAAAACUCGAGCAGUUUCUUGA
rnacentral:rRNA from 1 species